rnacentral:rRNA from 1 species
GAUCGGAGUGCUUGCACUCUGUGAAACAAGAUACAGGCUAGCGGCGGACGGGUGAGUAACACGUGGGUAACCUGCCCAAGAGAUCGGGAUAACACCUGGAAACAGAUGCUAAUACCGGAUAACAACAGAUGAUGCCUAUCAACUGUUUAAAAGAUGGUUCUGCUAUCACUCUUGGAUGGACCUGCGGUGCAUUAGCUAGUUGGUAGGGUAACGGCCUACCAAGGCGAUGAUGCAUAGCCGAGUUGAGAGACUGAUCGGCCACAUUGGGACUGAGACACGGCCCAAACUCCUACGGGAGGCAGCAGUAGGGAAUCUUCCACAAUGGACGCAAGUCUGAUGGAGCAACGCCGCGUGAGUGAAGAAGGGUUUCGGCUCGUAAAGCUCCGUUGUUGGUGAAGAAGGACAGGGGUAGCAACUGACCUUUGUUUGACGGUAAUCAAUUAGAAAGUCACGGCUAACUACGUGCCAGCAGCCGCGGUAAUACGUAGGUGGCAAGCGUUGUCCGGAUUUAUUGGGCGUAAAGCGAGUGCAGGCGGUUCGAUAAGUCUGAUGUGAAAGCCUUCGGCUCAACCGGAGAAUUGCAUCAGAAACUGUCGAGCUUGAGUACAGAAGAGGAGAGUGGAACUCCAUGUGUAGCGGUGAAAUGCGUAGAUAUAUGGAAGAACACCGGUGGCGAAGGCGGCUCUCUGGUCUGUUACUGACGCUGAGGCUCGAAAGCAUGGGUAGCGAACA